GAGAGACUUCACCCUCAGCCAUACAGAAAGGCCUUUCAUCCAGUCUAUGAUAUCUUCUCUCUGUGCCUAUAACAAACUGAGAAUAAAAUGGAUAGAAGAUUCCUGAGGAUGGGAGGAUGAAUCAACUCUAAUACUUUUUGCAGGGAUCAAGUUGAGAAGAAAAACAAAUGUUGCUACUCUCCCAAGUUCCUCCUAUGAUGACACAAAAAUGAGACAGCAAACUAAGAUGCCAAUGAAAGUGUAUAGGGCUGCUUCCAGAACCCAAGGAAGUCAAUGGAGAUUUCUACUGACAUCAAUGGAAAUUGAAUCAAGCCCUCGGAGGGAAACUCACUUAUUUUGGGAUUCUGUUUACUGAUUCCGUUACACUAGUAGGACUAGAAAGAAUACUUGGCUAGAAAGUCACCUCUUAAUGCCUGAUUCACUUAGGUUUUAUUAAACCAAGAAACACAAAUCAAAGAUUAAAGGCACUCAGUAGUCUCUGGAGUUUUAAAGGGUGUCAUUCUGAAAGUUGAUGUUUCUUCUGUUUAUCCUUUGUACUGUAGAGCAAGAGCUCUUUUUUUUUAAUCCAUUAGGCAAAACCAAAAGAGCUAUGCUUGAAAACAAAGGAAUUUUUAGCCCUUCACUUUGAUAGGAUGCCAAUAUUAAUUUUAACUUGUAGUUUGGGCUAACGAUUAUGCAUAAUUAUGUUCCACAUUACAAAGGAUAUUGAGAUCAGGCCCUUGUUUAUGAAGCAUUAUAGUCUUACAAUCUAAACCGUAGUAGUCAUAUUCUCUGAUAAAGUGGC